AUUCAGUUGAGAACUCUAAUGAGACUGCCAGUGAUAAACUGGAGGAAGGUGGGGAUGACGUCAAAUCAUCAUGCCCCUUAUGACCUGGGCUACACACGUGCUACAAUGGCCGGUACAAAGAGUUGCGAAACUGUGAAGUUAAGCUAAUCUCAUAAAGCCGGUCUCAGUUCGGAUUGUAGUCUGCAACUCGACUACAUGAAGUCGGAAUCGCUAGUAAUCGCGAAUCAGAAUGUCGCGGUGAAUACGUUCUCGAGUCUU
rnacentral:rRNA from 1 species